rnacentral:rRNA from 1 species
UACGAAGGGGGCUAGCGUUGUUCGGAAUCACUGGGCGUAAGGGGCGCGUAGUCGGCUUUAUAAGUCGGGGGUGAAAGCCUGUGGCUCAACCACAGAAUUGCCUUCGAUACUGUAUGGCUUGAGACCGGAAGAGGUAAGUGGAACUGCGAGUGUAGAGGUGAAAUUCGUAGAUAUUCGCAAGAACACCAGUGGCGAAGGCGGCUUACUGGUCCGGUUCUGACGCUGAGGCGCGAAAGCGUGGGGGGCAAACAGG